rnacentral:rRNA from 1 species
AAUUAUUAUUAGAUUUUUAAAUAAUUAUUCACGAAAUAAAUUGAGCUAAAUUUUUGGUAUUUUUUGGAAAUUAUAACUAUAUGUUACAAAAUAUAUUAACUAAAUAGAUUUAGGGGUGAAAGGCCUAUCAAAUUUUAUGAUAUCUUGAAGUAUAUAAAAUAUAUCAAGUAUUUCUAAUUCAACUAUUGAAUGUUUAGGUUCAAUAGUAACAUUAUAUUUUUUAAAAAAUUGUUCAAUUUUUUUAAGUAAAAUUGAGUUAGAGCAUAAAAUAUACAUCAAAUUUUUAUUAUAUGAAUAUAAAUAUACUACGGUUAUUAAUAAAUAUAAUCAUAUAUAAUGUAAUUAUUAGUAAUAGUUUAUUAAACUAUAUAAAGGAAUUCGGCAAGAAAAUUUUUCACCUGUUUAUCAAAAACAUAGCUUAUUGAAUAUCAUAAUAAGUAACCCCUGCUCAAUGGAAAUCUAAAUAGCCGCAGUACCUUGACUGUGCAAAGGUAGCAUAAUCAAUUGGCUUAUAAUUGAAGUCUGGAAUGAAUGGGUAAUCUGGAAAAUAACUGUCUUUAUUUUGUAGUAUUUUGAAUUUACUUAUAAAGUGAAAAUACUUUAAUAUAAAUAUAAGACGAGAAGACCCUAGAAAUUUUUUGUUAAUAACUUUUGUUGGGGCGACAGGGUAACAUAUAAACUUACUUACAUUUAUAUAAAUCUUAUAAGGUGCGUAACUAAAUUACUCUAGGGAUAACAGCAUAAUAUAUAAAAGUUUAUGACCUCGAUGUUGGACUAGGUAAUUAAAUAUUUAAAAGAUAUCUUAAUUUGCUCUGUUCGAGCAGUACCACCUACAU